UUUUUUUUUUAGUUUUUCAUUUACUUUCUUUUUUUUUAUUAUUAAAAUGAUAAUUAUCAUUCAUAAGAUGAUAAAUAAUCAUCCAUCAAUUGGGGCCAAUCUUGGCCUGAACACAAUUUAAAUGGUCUGGGGACUAUAGCCAUGCGUAAUCCAAUCCUUUUUAACCCCCCUUCAAAAUUGUGAAAUUCUUGUGUCCGCUUUUCAUAAUCACUCCACAAGUUGGCUUACAGUAAAUUAAAACAAAAAUUAAAAAAAAAAA
rnacentral:misc_RNA from 1 species